rnacentral:lncRNA from 1 species
ACAUAGCAUUUUAUAGAUUAUAAAGCAUUUUCUUGUUUAUUUUAUUUGAUAUUCAGAAACUAUGAGGUGACUGUUAUUAGGCAUUUAACAAAUGGAGAAACCAAGGCUCAAUUUAAUAACCAGGAGACUCCAGCCCCUUGCCUAUCUUGUCAUCACAACUGCUUUUUAAACUCUAUGCCAACCACAGAAGUCAAUGCUGAAAAUUCUUCUGAGAGAAUACACCCAAGGAAGCAAAAUCACAUGCAUAUCUUGCCCCUGCUUUUCAGUCCUGAGGCAGACAGAAAACAAGGGGACACACCUCUUGCGCUUUGGUACAUGUUCUGUGAGGCUUGCAAUCUGUACUUUCACAGAAGCUUCAAAGAUUUUUACAGAUGUUGUAAAAGCCAAGAGGAGCACUGAAGAAAUGGUCAUAAAAAACAAUUUCUCAACCAAGACAAAGAGUGACCCAGGACUAAAACCAGAAGAAGGAAGCAGAUGCCCUGGGGUGGAUCAGGACCUGAAGCUGCAUAGUCAACUGCCCUCAUUACAGUCAUUGCUUUUGCCCUAAUACAUCUCUGUAGGGGGAGGACCAACACAAUAAAUUCCAAGAUGGCAGGAACAUCUCUGACCAGUUUUAAUCACUGAUGUGAACUGGUCCUUAAACACAGCAGCUCCAUUUCAGCCCAGAAAGAAUGGCUGCUAUCAAGAAUUCAACAAAUAACAAAUGCUGGAAGGGCUGUGAGGAUAAAGGAACCCUUCUCCACUGUUGGUAGGAGUGUAGACUGCUGCAACCACUGUGGAAAUCAGUGUGGAGAUUCCUCAAAAAACUAAAACUAGAGGUUCCAUUUGACCCAACUAUUUCCCUUCUUGGUAUCUUCCUGAAAGAAUUAAAAGCAGCAUACUGCAGCAAUAUAUGCACACCCAUGUUUGUAGCG